CCUACGGGUGGCAGCAGUAGGGAAUAUUGCUCAAUGGGGGAAACCCUGAAGCAGCAACGCCGCGUGGAGGAUGAAGGUUUUAGGAUUGUAAAACCCUUUUGUUAGAGAAGAAACUGACGGUAUCUAAAGAAUAAGCACCAGCUAACGCCGUGCCAGCAGCCGCGGUAAUACGGAGGGUGCAAGCGUUAAUCCGAAUUACUGGGCGUAAAGGGCGCGUAGGCGGGAUAGCAAGUCAGAUGUUAAAUCCUAUGGCUUAACCAUAGAACUGCAUUUGAAACUGUUAUUCUUGAGUAUGGGAGAGGUAGGUGGAAUUCUUGGUGUAGGGGUGAAAUCCGUAGAGAUCAAGAGGAAUACUCAUUGCGAAGGCGACCUGCUAGAACCUAACUGACGCUGAUGCGCGAAAGCGUGGGGAGCAAACAGGAUUAGAUACCCGUGUAGUC
rnacentral:rRNA from 1 species